AUGCGUUUGAGCUGAAAGAACGAGAUAGGAAUUGCGUUGUUUCAGUUAGCAGUAUAAGGGUUAUGCAUUUACCAAGAGCCUAUCUUAGGUUGCCUUAGUUGAGUAGCUGACAGAAAAUGCUUAUU
rnacentral:sRNA from 21 species